GCUGAACCAGGAAAAGUGGCCACUGAGAGUCUCCACCCUAGACACAGCUGUGGGCUGAGCUGGGUUCCGGGCCUCCCACGGAGCACCACACUGGGGACAAGCAGGGGUCUGAACAGAGCAGAAGAAGAUUCCUGGCGGUAGAACUUUUCGCAGGGAGCUGAAAUGAAGCUGUUGCUGGAGUAGCAACAAAACCCCCAGCUCACAUGGAACAGGCCUCCAUCUCACUCGAGAGGAUCCCCUCUGCGGAGCAGCCAGGGGCCAGGCCUGGGCUGGACCUUCACAUCCUCACCACAGCCUUUCGAGGUGGGAAUCAGCAACGUGAGACAACGGAGGCUCCAAGGUGAAGCAACGACUUCUAAGUUCUCUGUCUCCAUCUUGGGUUUCUACCAAUAAUGGUUUGGACCCAAAUGUAGGUUGGCAUAUUUCUCUGUCAGAGAUAAUUUUGAAGCCUGUCACAAAAUGCCACAUAUAAUAUGAUUCUGUUACUAAGAAAUGUCCAGAAUAGGCAAAUCUAUAGAGACAGAAAGUAGAUAUUGGUGCUUGCUGAAGGCUGGAGGAGGGUUUGGGGAGUUGAGGGUCUAAAGGGUACAGGGUUGGGUGCCUGGGUGGCUCAGUCAGUGAAGCAUUUGACUCAGGGUCAGGUCAUGAUCUCACAGUUCCUGAGUUCAAGCCCCGCAUCGGAUGUACACGAGUUCUGCUUCGGGUCAGCUCCGCUUCUCUCUCUCUCUCUCUGCCCUUGCUCACUUGCACCCUCUCUCUAUGUCAAUAAAAAAACUAAAUAAAUAAAAU
rnacentral:lncRNA from 1 species